AAAGCCGAAGCCGAAAAGCUAAAAUAGAGUAGGCU
rfam:Miscellaneous Crenarchaeota group archaeon SMTZ-80 WORSMTZ_20364, whole genome shotgun sequence.